AUUUUUAGCUCGACUUCUAAGUCAAGCUUAGGAGGGCAGAGAGAAAACAAUCACAAAUGUUCAUGACAUUGUUGUCUAAGUGAUGAGGAAUGUUUGUGAACUAAUCUGGAUUAUCUAAAAGAAAAUCUCCAUGUUCAGACAUGGAAAAGAAGUGAGGGGUGGGCACAAUAACAAGUCAAAGAUGACAUCUGAAGUUCUUGUUGAGGAACUAGUUGGAAGUACCAUUUGAUGUCAUUUUGCAAAUGGGAAUAUAGAAGGAAAUGGUAUUAGUUUUUAAAAAUUGUCUUGAGAGUUCCCAAAUCCCAAGACACAUUACCAAUUCGGCUGGUCACGGCAAUUCAUCAAUUGUUUUGUCACAUAUUCGCAGACUCACAGUUGGGACUGAGAGCCAAGGAAUGUUUAAACAGCAUGUAACUUUGAUAAAUAUGCAAGAAGUUAAAUGCUUUUUAUGGAUGUUACAAAUCAGGCCAGGCAAAACCAAAGGUGUGCUCAAGUCUGGUCAU
rnacentral:lncRNA from 1 species